UGAAAGGGCUGUCUGCUUAGAGAUAAUUCUCAUAUUUGCUUUUAAUUAAAGGCAACAAUUUAACGCAAUUCCGUAGACAGACGAGAAUUUAUCAUGGGCAAAUUUAAUUUCUUGGUUACAUUUUGGGCCAGCCAUGCAGCAGGCAGCAGGCGGCAGGAGGCAUUUGGCAUGUGGCUUGCAACAUGAUGCAUGCAGCUACUGGGAACGCUCGGCAGGCUUAGGCAGACCCAAAAUGCCAAAUGCAGCUGCAAUAGAAUGCCCGCAGGCCUACCAUACAGAGAGAGGAGAGAGACAGAGCGGCAGAGUGAGUAAGAACCGGAGCCGGAAAAUUCAUGGCCAAAUGCGAUUACCGUAAAGACGAAAAUUGAAUUUAUGUAUGUACGAACAAAUAGAAGGCAAAUAUGUAUACGGCCGAGAGCCAAGGCAACACGUUGCUUUUGAUUAGUUAAUUAAAAUGUCGGCUUAUA
rnacentral:sRNA from 1 species